GCGUCCGUUUCUGUCCCGACUCUGCAGGCCCCCGCUGAGAUAAGCCUGGAGUAAGUCGGUCUUGUGGAGUUUCCGCCUCAGCUGGCCAUUCUCACCCUUGGAUGCUCCAUCCCAGUCGGAAGGUGAAAACAAGGCCACGUCAGUCUCCUGGAAGAUGGGCGAUCCUGUGGAGGAGACCCGAGGGACUCCAGUUACCAGCCAGUCAGCCAUUCAGCUUCUUGCCUAGCCAACCCAGAGCUGACCACCAAUGUACAACAUAACUUAGCCAACACUGCAAAACCAUCCUAAAUUGUUGAUGCACAGAAUUUUAAGCUUAACGUGUUUCUAUUAUCUUAACACUCUGUAUUUCGGGGCAGUUUAUUCCACAGCAAGAGUAACUGAUUCAACUCUGCAACUGCGGACUUCUUAUCAAAACUCACAUGGCUUCAGCCUUUUCAUCUGUGAUAUGUGGAUAAAAUCAACUUGAGGAUGUAAUCAUAUUAACAAACGAACGUUUAAAACAUAUAGAACCUAGUAGGGUUCCAACAAAUAUUUUAAGUGAAUGAAUAAAAGGUGAGUAUUCAAGAAACCUUUUCCAAAAACAAAAAGUAUAAUGAUGAUGAUACCUGAGGGGACUUUCACCACACAGACUUCUGGGACUGGGGAAACCCGAGGUUCAGGGAAGCCAUCAGUGAAGUAAGAUGGAAACCGCUUGCCUUGCCAGGAACGUACAUGACUGGGAGCAGCCAGGCUGUUAUUGCAGAUCUAAUGGAAGAGAAAGUGCUUCCACUGCUCAUUCCACAGCCAAACCACAGAUCCUGGCAACUCCUCGCCUCUGAGGCAACAAAGACACAUUCACAGGGCUUGGCUUCUUUCUUCCGAAAUCUACACCUCAAGCUACAGAAGUCAGUCACGCGAGGCUGGCCUGCUGGGACCAGCUGGGAAAUCCAUCCAUGGCUACUGCUGAGAUCUCUGGCCUCCCUUCCCUCCUCCCGUGUGUCCACACAUGUGAGUUCUGGGAAUGCCUGCUAAUGACAGGACUGAUAGUUUCUUCUGUUUUGCUUCCAGGAAUCUUUUUUUUGGGUCUGAAGCUCUUGAACCAGGAGAGAGAAUUACCUUUUACCACUUGAGGGACACCUUGUGGACAAUCCAUCAAGAAUUCCGUAAUAUCCAGUGAACAGAUAUUUUGAGAGCCAACAAAUUGUCAGGCCUUGUUUCAGGUCUUAGAGAGGCAAAGAUAAAGAAGAUUAGAGCUUCCUUUUCUUUUUAUUAUCCACCAGACCAAAGGAAUGGCCUGGGGACUUGGUGCAAGGCAGGAAGUGUCAGAAGACCUGGAUGUGGCUCCUGCCUCUGCCAGGUGAUCAUGGAACAGUCGCCUAUGGUUGCUGAGCCUCAGUUUCCUCAUCUGUAAAGUUAGUGAUGGGCCUAGAUGACCUCGCUGCCCUGUGCACCUCUAACGUUAGAUGUUGGCAAGCCUGUGGGCACCGGCAAAAUCAUCAGUUACUGGAAUAAUCUUGUUUCCGUGUUCUCAGAAAAGCCUGGCCACCUGAUUUUUCCUUUUAUAAUUAUUAUGUCAUAGUUGAUAUUGGCAAAAGAAUGUAACUAUCACACAGGUAAUGAUGAACAAGAAUAGCAACAGGAAGAUCUGUGGGCCUUAGCGAUCACAGCCAAUACCAUUGCUUCAGCUUGUGGGCUCCUUUCCUGUACCACGCCCUGCCUACCCCAAGAAGUGACCAGCAUUCUGAAUUUUAUUUCUAUAAACCCCUGGUUUUAAAAAGGCAGAAUACUGUUGGGAGGCGGCUGCCCAGCUAGAAAUGACAUUUACUCAUCUCGUUCAUCCAGGAGAGAAUAAACACAGGGACCUGGGAGUCAGCAAGGUGUCCCUGAAAAAGUAGAACCUGUUCCAAGAACAGAAAGGACUCAUCAGCCU